GGCGCCGGCUGCAAAAGCCGCUGCCGGCUGCGGGGGGGGCUGGUGCGGCGAGUGGCUUCUUCCGGCCGGCGGGGCCGCCUUCCCAGUCACGGCUCCUCGGAAAGCUUCAAACCAUGGUCAAGUCAGGUUGAGGGCUUGAAGGGCACAGGGAAACGGUACCAGAAGUGGGCAGCGUUGCAGGUGGUUCCAGGUGCUGCGAAGUGUGUGCGAAAUAGUGCUGCUUUUUCUUUCCAAGUGCCUGAAAUUAUUUAUUUUUUUACUUAAUUAAUGUAAUUCUAGUGUGUUACCAAGUGCUCAAGUGUCACUAUCCAGCUAAUAACAAAAUGUCUAGGUUUUAAGAGAAAAAAAAAAGGCUGAGACUGGUUCAGGAUAGAGACUGAGUACAGGAACUGUCUUGUUACUUAAUCUGGAGGUGUGAUAGUCUCACUUGUUUCUAUGCAAAUAUAUUUAAUGGCAUCGUGACUAUACUUAAAAUAUGUUUUAAAGGUGAUUUUAGUGAUGCAGUGGUAACUUGCUGUCUGAUUUCCUGAUGUGGGGACGAAGUAUAAGCUUGGCUGUUUAAGUUUCCAUUGCUAUUUGUUGUAGUCAAGUCUCACAUGCCAAACAGGACUGUCUGACACAACCCAUUAUACUUUGUCACAUCUCAGCCAUUCUUCCCAAACUUUGUCCUGGCAGCUGUCUGCCCUAAGUUGAUGGGUUGAUUGAUACAAGAGUGCUAUCCAGAAUGGUACAGCUGCUUUCUUACAGUGAUAUUAAGGCAAAAUGACUACUUGUGUCCCUCCUUGUGACUGCUAAGUGUCUCUAGUGCUUUACAGUAGGAUUGUGACAUGAUGUUGUUUGCCAUGUUUGUAGGGAGCUGCUGUUUGAUACUUGUCUUGAAAGCAGCCCAAAAUGGUCAAAUCCUACACUUUUCUAUAUUUUGUUUCCUAGAACAUGGUGAAAAAAUAUUGUCAAGGUUCUUGCUGCUCUGGGAAUAUUGUGGUCUUUAAAGAACCAUUUUUUGUGAUAGCUUCUGGUAGCUGACCAUCAGCAAUGGGAGAAAAGGAGUUCUGACUCCUGUGUGCUUGCUGUCUGCUUUCUCCAAGAGCUGGAAAGAGAGACUAGGAAGAAGGUAGAAGCAAAGGUGGUUGACGACCUGCAAAUGCCUCAACAAUUGAAGGAAAAAAAGCUGUAAUGCAAUCUCACAUUUUAAUGUACACAAAAGCACUCGUAUAAGAGAAAGCACUCACAAAUACCAGAACCACAGGAAAAUCUUCAACCAAAGUUUGCGCUUUGUAGAUGCAAAAUCAAUAGGAAAACUUGCAGGAAAUUGGGCUUUGUUAUUUUAGUUCUUUCAGAACAGAGCAUUUGGGGCUUUUUAGCUUUAUUUUCUAAGGAUGUGAGGUUUGUUCGUAUGUGCAGCAUUACGACUGCAUAUGUCUGUCAGUAUUUAACUGGUAAAGCUACUGAAAAUUUUAAUAAGCUGUUACAGUUUUCAGGAAUACUAAGUUGUUACAAGUCUUGUCUUCCUGAGAGGAAGGAAGAUUCCUUGUCAGUAUGACUGGGAGGAGAAUUGUGUUAAGAGCUUGCCCCUUUUUGUUUCAGUUAUUCACAUGGCUGCUGUUAAAACUGCAUUUCAGAGAUUUAUGUUCCUGAGUUGUUUUGCUAAUUCUGCCUAUCCCUCCCACUGUCAAAGAAUGCAACAAAGUUCUGUCAACACAGAAAGCAAAUACUAGGAGUAGUCCAGCCCGUUGACAGGAAGAUCAGGCCUUUUUUUUGGAGGGAGGGCUGGUUUCUGUCUGCUGGCGAACCUUCUAAAACUGAAAUCUUACAAGCAGCAGAUGCUGUCAGAACAGUUAUGAGACGUACAUGCACAUGUUUCUUCACUGAUUCGAUACUGUGAAAGUGAAAUGACAAGUCCCAAAAGAACCGUCGGAGUCUAACAGCAAAAGUCUUGUGCAACUUUGGAAGAACGAGCUUUUUCAGACUGAAAGGCAGCAAGAGCAGCCAGGGGAACAUUAUAGCAAGUUUUAAUGCAUUUGAAAACUUGCAGAAAGGCCUCAGAGUUUCUGUAAUGUAUGCCAGCUGCCAGAUAUCCCCAAGACACAGAUACUUGUGCAGAGCCUGGCAGAAGCUGGGGUAGCGCACUCUUACCCAGCCCACUGGCACAGUGACUUGGAGGAGGAACAACACAGUCUUCUGGAUCCCGGUUUUUCAAAACCUCACUCUUGGUUGUUCACAGCUGUGUAAAUUCUAUGUCAAAGGUUACAGUUACAACUUUUCUGGGGAAAUUGCCAUGGAGUUUGAGACCUCUUCAGGUUUGGCCUGUGCUGCUGAAGCUAACAGGACUGGGAAGCCUGGGUCUUGGUAUGUACAGUUGUUGGGGAUAGAUUUAUGUGUGUAAAUGUGCAAAUAAAUGCUUCUAUGGGAUUUUUCAAAAUCCAA